rnacentral:rRNA from 1 species
CGGCGGACGGGUGAGUAACGCGUGGGUAACCUGCCUCAUACAGGGGGAUAACAGUUAGAAAUGACUGCUAAUACCGCAUAAGACCACGGUACCGCAUGGUACAGUGGUAAAAACUCCGGUGGUAUGAGAUGGACCCGCGUCUGAUUAGGUAGUUGGUGGGGUAACGGCCUACCAAGCCGACGAUCAGUAGCCGACCCGAGAGGGUGAUCGGCCACAUUGGGACUGAGACACGGCCCAG